rnacentral:rRNA from 1 species
CCUACGGGAGGCAGCAGUGAGGAAUAUUGGUCAAUGGGCGGGAGCCUGAACCAGCCAAGUCGCGUGAGGGAAGACGGUCCUAUGGAUUGUAAACCUCUUUAGGCGGGGAGCAAUGCCGGGCACGCGUGUCCGGAGGGAGAGUACCCGCAGAAUAAGCAUCGGCUAACUCCGUGCCAGCAGCCGCGGUAAUACGGAGGAUGCGAGCGUUAUCCGGAUUUAUUGGGUUUAAAGGGUGCGUAGGCGGCUUGGCAAGUCAGUAGUGAAAUCCAUGGGCUUAACCCAUGAACUGCUAUUGAAACUGUCGG